rnacentral:tRNA from 1 species
GCCUGAAUAGCUCAGUUGUUAAGCGUCUGCGUUCGGCUCCGGGUAUGAUCCCAGGUCGUGGGAUCGAGUCCCGCUUCGGGCU